UAGCACGAUGCCUCCCGGGCUUCUCUGAUAAAUUUCAUGACGCGAAAGCCCCGAUGCACGUGCUACAUCGAUGCCGUUCGUGUUGCAGUUCUGCCUAAUUCUCACGGCGGAUCUGUGUCAAAGCAAUGGCUAAAUAU
rfam:Cicer arietinum chromosome Ca1, whole genome shotgun sequence.